UACAGAGGGUGCUAGCGUUGUUCGGAAUCAUUGGGCGUAAAGCGCACGUAGGCGGAUGUGUCAGUCAGGGGUGAAAUCCCGGAGCUCAACUUCGGAACUGCCUUUGAUACAGCACGUCUUGAGUCCGAUAGAGGUGGGUGGAAUUCCUAGUGUAGAGGUGAAAUUCGUAGAUAUUGGGAAGAACACCGAUGGCGAAGGCAGCCAUCUGGACCGACACUGACGCUGAGGCGCGAAAGCGUGGGGAGCAAACAGG
rnacentral:rRNA from 1 species